rnacentral:rRNA from 1 species
UACGGAGGGUGCAAACGUUGCUCGGAAUCAUUGGGCGUAAAGCGAACGUAGGCGGCUUUGUAAGUCGGGUGUGAAAGCCCUCGGCUCAACCGAGGAAGUGCAUUCGAAACUGCAUGGCUUGAAUGUCGGAGAGGAUAGCGGAAUUCCCGGUGUAGAGGUGAAAUUCGUAGAUAUCGGGAGGAACACCAGUGGCGAAGGCGGCUAUCUGGACGAACACUGACGCUGAAGUUCGAAAGCGUGGGGAGCAAACAGG